rnacentral:rRNA from 1 species
GAGCUUGCUCCGCUGACGACCGGCGAACGGGUGCGUAACGCGUAUAGAAUCUACCUCUUACUAAGGGAUAGCCCAGAGAAAUUUGGAUUAAUAUCUUAUAGUAUGUUAACUUGGCAUCAAGAUGACAUUAAAGGUUACGGUAAGAGAUGACUAUGCGUCCUAUUAGCUAGAUGGUGUGGUAACGGCACACCAUGGCAACGAUAGGUAGGGGCCCUGAGAGGGGGAUCCCCCACACUGGUACUGAGACACGGACCAGACUCCUACGGGAGGCAGCAGUGAGGAAUAUUGGACAAUGGAGGCAACUCUGAUCCAGCCAUGCCGCGUGCAGGAAGACUGCCCUAUGGGUUGUAAACUGCUUUUAUACAGGAAGAAACACUCUCACGUGUGAGAGCUUGACGGUACUGUAAGAAUAAGGAUCGGCUAACUCCGUGCCAGCAGCCGCGGUAAUACGGAGGAUCCAAGCGUUAUCCGGAAUCAUUGGGUUUAAAGGGUCCGUAGGUGGAUAAUUAAGUCAGAGGUGAAAUCCUGCAGCUCAACUGUAGAAUUGCCUUUGAUACUGGUUAUCUUGAGUUAUUAUGAAGUAGUUAGAA